AUCCCUCCCAACACUCAGACUCCAUGAGAUGAGGAAUGCUCACUUAAGUCAUUCUGAACUGUUCCCUAUGGAAAAUAAAGUAUAAAAAGAAAUAGGUUGCCAGAGAAACAGUUCAGCUGGUAGAGCACAGGACUUGAAUGUCUGAAGCUCGUGGCUUAGUCCCUAGUAGCACGUAACUAGAAGUGGUGUUCUGGCUUUUCUCUCUCUCUCUUUCUGUCCCUCUCUCCUCUGGCUCUCAUAAAAUAAAAUGAAUCUUGGCAAAAAAAACAA